UACUCAGUAUAAGGAAUGACUCUUAUACAUCCUAAUAUAGUUAGCAAUAACUAAAGAAAGAGUAG
rnacentral:sRNA from 31 species